rnacentral:lncRNA from 1 species
GAUAAGUGGUUAUAAGAGAAAAUCUGUAACAAAGGCUAACAAGCAAAGGAAACAGCAAGGAUAUUGAAAAAAAAAAAGAGAAAAUCAAGAGAUGUAUGGAUAAAAUAGACAUCAUCCAAGCUACCACAGGAUUUCCGAAUUGGAAGCAUUUGGAUGAUGUAGCCUGACACCUCCCAAUUCACUAUGAAUGGUGUAGAAGUCAUGUUUCCAUGAUGCUCUGAGAUUUUAUCCAUCACCAUGAAAGAACAUACCCAGUAUACCCUACUGUCUAAAGUAAAUAGACAGUGACAAGUGA